GUGCCAGCAGCCGCGGUAAUACAGAGGGUGCGAGCGUUAAUCGGAAUUACUGGGCGUAAAGGGCGCGUAGGCGGUUAUAUAAGUUAGAUGUGAAAUCCCCGGGCUUAACCUGGGAAUGGCAUUUAAUACUGUAUGACUAGAGUAGAGUAGAGGGAAGUGGAAUUUCCGGUGUAGCGGUGAAAUGCGUAGAUAUCGGAAAGAACACCAGUGGCGAAGGCGGCUUCCUGGACUCAUACUGACGUUGAGGCGCGAAAGCGUGGGUAGCAAACAGGAUUAGAUACCCUGGUAGUCC
rnacentral:rRNA from 1 species